rnacentral:rRNA from 1 species
AGGCAGCAGGCGCGCAAAUUACCCACUCCCGGCACGGGGAGGUAGUGACGAAAAAUAACGAUACGGGACUCAUCCGAGGCCCCGUAAUCGGAAUGAGUACACUCUAAAUUCUUCCCCAAAAAUCAAUUGGAGGGUAAGUCUGGUGCCAGCAGCCGCGGUAAUUCCAGCUCCAAUAGCGUAUAUUAAAGUUGUUGCGGUUAAAAAGCUCGUAGUCGAACUUGUGUCCCGCGCCGCUGGUUCAUCGCUCGCGGUGUUCAACUGGCGUGUCUCGCGGGACGUCCUGCCGGUGGGAUCGUGUGUUGCUUCGGUGGCGCGCGUCCCAACUCGUAGCCGUCUCGCGCGGUUGCGAAUCCCAUCGCGGUGCUCUUUGUUGAGUGUCGAGGUGGGCCGGCACGUUUACUUUGAACAAAUUAGAGUGCUUAAAGCAGGCCAAUUUUGCCUGAAUAUUGUGUGCAUGGAAUAAUAGAAUAGGACCUCGGUUCUAUUUUGUUGGUUUUCGGAACCCCGAGGUAAUGAUUAAUAGGAACGGAUGGGGGCAUUCGUAUUGCGACGUUAGAGGUGAAAUUCUUGGAUCGUCGCAAGACGGACAGAAGCGAAAGCAUUUGCCAAAAACGUUUUCAUUGAUCAAGAACGAAAGUUAGAGGUUCGAAGGCGAUCAGAUACCGCCCUAGUUCUAACCAUAAACGAUGCCAGCUAGCGAUCCGCCGACGUUCCUCCGAUGACUCGGCGGGCAGCUUCCGGGAAACCAAAGCUUUUGGGUUCCGGGGGAAGUAUGGUUGCAAAGCUGAAACUUAAAGGAAUUGACGGAAGGGCACCACCAGGAGUGGGGCCUGCGGCUUAAUUUGACUCAACACGGGACACCUCACCAGGCCCGGACACCGGAAGGAUUGACAGAUUGAGAGCUCUUUCUUGAUUCGGUGGGUGGUGGUGCAUGGCCGUUCUUAGU